GAAAAUCUUCUUAAUAAUUACUGGGCCAGGAAAGUGGGAAUUUACAUCAAAGCUGUCUGGCAUAGUGCAGAUUCAAGUUUGUAAAAAUCAUUGUCCCCGGGGGUAAGAUGGAGCCACAGUAGGGGAUCAAAAUCUUGCAUACAAAUAUAUAGGGGAAAUCAUUAAAAAUCACUUGCCAGGGAAGUUUACAUUUACACGAAAGCUUCAUGACAUAGUGCAGAUUCAAUUUUGUAAAAAUCAGGGCCCCUGGGAGUAGGUUGGGGCCACAAUAGCGAUCAAAGUUUUACAUGCGAAUAGGAAAAAUCUUAAAAUAUGAGCCAAGGUGACUCAGGUGAGCUAUGUGGCCCAAUGGCCUCUUAUUUAUUUUUGGUCUCAAUGUGUGUGCGUUUUUAAAUCAGCCACUGGCAAAGUGAAGACAGAAUUGAGCAAAGUAACGGUGUGUCUACUCAGUCUUGAUAUACCAUAUGUUACAUAGGGUUAAUUUUUGUUUACUGUUUUUUUUAGAACUAGAUGAGCAGAAGAUGCAUUCCAUGACUGACUCCCCAUAUGAUAUGAAAGACAGCCCAUGAGAAUGGAACCAACUUUCAGUGUUACAAUGGAUGAACACUCCUCCUGUCACAAGUCCAUCUUGAUUCAGUAAAGUGGUAGUCUAUUCAUCUAGGAAGCAACAAGACGGAUCUGGACAAGGACCAUAUUGACUCAAGUUUUGGUGUCAGAAGACCAUUUUGAUUAAACAUGUUAAAAGCACCACAGAAGUAAGAAGCUAGGAUACCAGUUUUAUAAACUAAAGAGUCGAAAGGCCCAGCUGGAGAGAAAUUCCCAUUUCUCGACCAAGGACCAAAAAAAAAAAAGAUUAAAAAGGUGCUGACUAAGGAGGCAACGUCUCCAGAAGUAACGGAUGAUGAGGAAGCCACCCAGAGGAAGGUCUUACCAUUUAUAUGGGAGUCAUCCCUGCUGCGUAAUGUUAAGUGCGAUCUGGACAGAGAGUAUGCUGAAUCUUUGCAACUUCAAUCAAAGAGACAAUAAGCCAAGGCCAUUAGAAGUAGAACGGAAAUGACUAUGACCCCACCACCUAGGAGCAUUCAAGAGUGGGCCGUUUCCUCUACUUAUAAAUGAUGCUAUUACUGUUAAUAGUUAUAUUUAAUUUCCUCAUUUAUAGCUCACCUGAGCCAAAGGCUCAAGGUCACAAUUAAUACUUUUAUACCGUUAUAACCAGUUUUUAUGAAAUUUUAAUAAUGCUGUUGAAGGAGAAUUGCAAUUUUUCGGAUGUUUAUAAUUGACACUGUUUAAGUAUGUCUAGCAUCUUAAAAAGUGUGAUGACCUAUAUAUUUCAUUUGAUAAUUUAUUAAUUUUAACUUUAAUAAAUUGAAAUAAAUGCAUUUUUGAUACUUUUAUCAGAGAAUAUUGCAAGUAUGGAGUUACCUUGAUAUAUUUAUACAGAUUUGUUCUGCUUUAGUACUAGUGUAUCAGUAUUAUUACAUCAAGUUCAUUUGUGUGAAUAUUAUAAUAUUUAAGAAUGAAUAAAACUGUCAAAUUGUG